UACACUGUGCCAGCCAACACAGUCUCACUCCCUACUCGUCAAAUGUAUGACGCAUGGUCAAGGACCCCUGGAGUUAAUUUUCAACGCCAGGGAGGUACCCAUUGCGUUAUUUUUCGACGAGGGGGUCCGUCAGAUAGACAUUCAUGUUAAUCCCUCACCGUCAGAUAUCAACGAAAGAAA